rnacentral:rRNA from 1 species
UACGUAGGGGGCAAGCGUUGUCCGGAUUUACUGGGCGUAAAGAGCGCGCAGGCGGUCGAUCAAGUCGAGUGUGAAAGCCCCCGGCUCAACUGGGGAGGGUCAUUCGAUACUGCUCGGCUCGAAGACAGGAGAGGGAAGUGGAAUUCCCGGUGUAGUGGUGAAAUGCGUAGAUAUCGGGAGGAACACCAGUGGCGAAGGCGACUUUCUGGCCUGUUCUUGACGCUGAGGCGCGAAAGCUAGGGGAGCAAACGGGG